rnacentral:lncRNA from 1 species
AAAAAUGAUUCCAGCUGAUUCAUGAUUUCCACUGGCUGAGAAAAGCUCUCUGCCUGUCUGUCUCGUUCCGACUCCUGAAAUCGAAUUUCAAUAUUGAAACAAGUUAUCGCGUGUCAGACAGCCCUGCUCUCAGCGAAGAGUUCCGGAAGGACAUCGAUCUCCUGCCCAAGAUCUACUUCUCAUUCUCUGAGACCGCCAAGGCCCAGUACCGCCGGCUCAUAGACACCUAUGGGACUCACUACAUCCGCCAGGUUGACCUGGGAGGCCGGCUGACGAUGACCACAGCAAUACACACCUGUCAGGCUUCACUUAAGAGACUCUCUACAAACCAGGUGGAAUCCUGCUUGUCAGGUCUUGAUAUGGGCCUUGGGAGAAGUAAAGUUUCCCCUAGCGUCCAAAGUUGCUCCAAAGUUCUGGACAACCAUGACUCGAAGACCUCUGACAGCUCUAGCUUCCUCAGCCACCACACCAAGGUGGUGGGAGGCUCCGGUUGGCUGGGGGAGCUGUCACUCAACCGUAAUGACUCAGUGGGCUUCCAUAGUUGGAUGAGAACCUUGAAGAACAUCCCAGACGUCAUCUACUAUUCUCUGAGUCCUCUGCACCUGCUUAUACCCA